rnacentral:rRNA from 2 species
AUAAUGACUCUCGGCAACGGAUAUCUCGGCUCUCGCAUCGAUGAAGAACGUAGCGAAAUGCGAUACUUGGUGUGAAUUGCAGAAUCCCGCGAACCAUCGAGUCUUUGAACGCAAGUUGCGCCCGAAGCCAUUAGGUUGAGGGCAUGCCUGCCUGGGCGUCUCACA